rnacentral:rRNA from 1 species
GAUGAACGCUAGCUACAGGCUUAACACAUGCAAGUCGCGGGGCAGCAUGGGGGUUGCUUGCAACCCCUGAUGGCGACCGGCGCACGGGUGAGUAACGCGUAUCGAACCUGCCCUUCACCACGGUAUAACCCGGCGAAAGUCGUACUGAUACCGUAUGUUGUCUAUUGACGGCAUCCGAUUUGGACGAGAGGCUUGGCGAUGAAAGGGUGGGGAUGCGUCUGAUUAGCUUGACGGCGGGGUACCGGCCCACCGUGGCGACGAUGGGUAGGGGUUCUGAGAGGAAGGUCCCCCACACUGGAACUGAGACACGGUCCAGACUCCUACGGGAGGCAGCAGUGAGGAAGACUGGUCAAUGGGCGUAAGCCUGAACCAGCCAAGUAGCGUGCAGCAUGACGGCCCUAUGGGUUGUAAACUGCUUUUAUGCGGGGACAAAGUGGCCCACGUGUGGGCUUUUGCAGGUACCGCAUGAAUAAGGACCGGCUAAUUCCGUG